GACAGAGUCUCCCCUGUGCGUUCUAGGCGUCGCAAUCCAAACAAUGUACAUUACAAAGGUUCCAACCAGGAACAGUACUCAGCAAACAGAAUUGCAUCAGGAAGGUAUCAAUCAACAUAAACACAUCCUAAGAUAUUACAUCCAUUCAUUUUACAUCACAAUUCCAUUACAUUCAACUUCCAAUACCAUUAAGUUAUUACAACAUUUAUUUAUUACAAUUACAAUUUGAUACAUUUGCUUCCUUUCAUUUUCUAUACCCCUAAGCUAUGUCGACGGGGUACUGCUAGCUCUGGUCUCUGGGGGUAGGGCGCUAUCUAUGGAGCUACGCCCUUGCCUCGCGCC
rnacentral:lncRNA from 1 species